AUAUUAACUGUCAGGGGAGAUACCAUAGUUUUCCCGGGAUGAGGCUUUUCCAUUGCAUUCCAGAUGUGCUGACCCCUGUGAUGUCCCCAAAGGUGGGAAACUUGACUGCAUAGUUUGUGGUGGUGGAGGACUGCGUUCACUCUCUUCCC
rnacentral:snRNA from 1 species